rnacentral:rRNA from 1 species
UUGACGGAGCGAAGCGACGUCAAAGCGUAUACAAAGUCGAGUCGGUUUAAGGAUACGUUCGUUGGGUAGGGGAGCGUUCUGUAAGCCUGUGAAGGUGUGUCGUGAGGCAUGCUGGAGGUAUCAGAAGUGCGAAUGCUGACAUAAGUAACGAUAAAGCGGGUGAAAAGCCCGCUCGCCGGAAGACCAAGGGUUCCUGUCCAACGUUAAUCGGGGCAGGGUGAGUCGACCCCUAAGGCGAGGCCGAAAGGCGUAGUCGAUGGGAAACGGGUUAAUAUUCCCGUACUUGGUGUUACUGCGAAGGGGGGACGGAGAAGGCUAUGUUGGCCGGGCGACGGUUGUCCCGGUUUAAGCGUGUAGGUGUGUGUUCCAGGUAAAUCCGGUUCACUUUAACACUGAGGCGUGACGACGAGGCACUACGGUGCUGAAGCAACAAAUGCCCUGCUUCCAGGAAAAGCCUCUAAGCAUCAGGUAACAUCAAAUCGUACCCCAAACCGACACAGGUGGUCAGGUAGAGAAUACCAAGGCGCUUGAGAGAACUCGGGUGAAGGAACUAGGCAAAAUGGUGCCGUAACUUCGGGAGAAGGCACGCUGACACGUAGGUGAAGUGAUUUACUCAUGGAGCUGAAGUCAGUCGAAGAUACCAGCUGGCUGCAACUGUUUAUUAAAAACACAGCACUGUGCAAACACGAAAGUGGACGUAUACGGUGUGACGCCUGCCCGGUGCCGGAAGGUUAAUUGAUGGGGUCAGCGCAAGCGAAGCUCCUGAUCGAAGCCCCGGUAAACGGCGGCCGUAACUAUAACGGUCCUAAGGUAGCGAAAUUCCUUGUCGGGUAAGUUCCGACCUGCACGAAUGGCGUAAUGAUGGCCAGGCUGUCUCCACCCGAGACUCAGUGAAAUUGAACUCGCUGUGAAGAUGCAGUGUACCCGCGGCAAGACGGAAAGACCCCGUGAACCUUUACUAUAGCUUGACACUGAACAUUGAGCCUUGAUGUGUAG